AUAAUUGGCCGAAAGGCCUUGUAAUACGGGCGAGGGUGCAAUCGAGGCAUCUCGAAUGCAAGGAAGGUAUUGGGGCAACCCGGUGCCGUGCGAGGAGGUAUUCGCGGCCUAUCAGUUAGUUGGUGGGGUAACGGCCUACCAAGACAACGACGGGUAGCUGGUCUGAGAGGAUGGUCAGCCACAUUGGAACUGAGAUACUGUCCAG
rnacentral:rRNA from 1 species